rnacentral:rRNA from 1 species
UACGUAGGGUGCGAGCGUUAAUCGGAAUUACUGGGCGUAAAGCGUGCGUAGGCGGCUCCGCAAGUCCGCUGUGAAAUCCCCGGGCUUAACCUGGGAAUGGCAGUGGAAACUAUGGAACUUGAAUCCGGCAGAGGGGGGUGGAAUGCCACGUGUAGCAGUGAAAUGCGUAGAGAUGUGGCGGAACACCGAUGGCGAAGGCAGCCCCCUGGGCCGAGAUUGACGCUCAGGCACGAAAGCGUGGGGAGCAAACAGG